UCCGGUUGAUCCUGCCAGAGGUUACUGCUAUCGAGGUCCGACUAAGCCAUGCGAGUCGAAUGUAGCAAUACAUGGCGUACUGCUCAGUAACACGUGGACAACCUGCCCUUAGGUUGGGUAUAAACCCGGGAAACUGGGUAUAAUCCCCUAUAAGUCUCGGCUGCUGGAAUGCACCGAGAUUAAAAGCUCCGGCGCCUAAGGAUGGGUCUGCGGCCUAUCAGGUAGUAGUGGGUGUAGCGUACCUACUAGCCUACGACGGGUACGGGUUGUGAGAGCAAGAGCCCGGAGAUGGAUUCUGAGACACGAAUCCAGGCCCUACGGGGUGCAGCAGGCGCGAAAACUUUACAAUGCUGGCAACAGCGAUAAGGGAACCUCGAGUGCCAGGUUACAAAUCUGGCUGUCGAGAUGCCUAAAAAGCAUUUCAUAGCAAGGGCCGGGCAAGACCGGUGCCAGCCGCCGCGGUAACACCGGCGGCUCGAGUGGUAACCGUUAUUAUUGGGUCUAAAGGGUCUGUAGCCGGCCGGAUAAGUCUCUUGAGAAAUCUGGCAGCUUAACUGUCAGGCUUUCAGGAGAUACUGUCUGGCUCGAGGCCGGGAGAGGUGAGAGGUACUUCAGGGGUAAGGGGUGAAAUCUUGUAAUCCUUGAAGGACCACCAGUGGCGAAGGCGUCUCACCAGAACGGACCUGACGGCAAGGGACGAAAGCUAGGGGGCACGAACCGGAUUAGAUACCCGGGUAGUCCUAGCCGUAAACGAUACUCGCUAGGUGUCGGCCACGGUGCGACCGUUGUCGGUGCCGUAGGGAAGCCGUGAAGCGAGCCGCCUGGGAAGUACGGCCGCAAGGCUGAAACUUAAAGGAAUUGGCGGGGGAGCACCACAACGGGUGGAGCUUGCGGUUUAAUUGGAUUCAACGCCGGAAAUCUUACCGGGACCGACAGCAAUAUGAAGGCCAGGCUGAAGACUUUGCCGGAUUAGCUGAGAGGUGGUGCAUGGCCGUCGUCAGUUCGUACUGUGAAGCAUCCUGUUAAGUCAGGUAACGAGCGAGACCCA
rnacentral:rRNA from 1 species